AAGAAAGGGAUCCGGAGUGACCCGCCCUCGGGCCUCCGCGCCCGUGAAGCUCCGCGCCCUCGGCAAGGCCACGCUUCUCCGGCAUGGGAAGCCAGGAGGCAGCGGAGCGCGGGUCUGGGGCACCGGGGACAUUGACAAACAUAACUGGGGUGCCAAACUGGGCUUCUUAAUUUCGAAGCCAGGAUGGGCGGGUGUGGCCGGGGGCGCGCGGUGCCAGCCAACUCGGGGUGCUUUCCCUGUGGGCUCACACCGGCAGCGCGGACCCGCCGAGGCCGCGGGGCCUGCAAGUCCGUCGCCUCCUUUUGUUCUGGCCUCGGCUGUAAUUUAACAUAAAAUGCCUGUUAGAAUCACUGCUGCUGAAACACGCGUUUCUCCUUGUUUUGCCACCAACUAACAGGAUUAGCCAACAAGAGCGAGAUUUCAAAUUAACCAUAAAAAUUACAAAUUGCAAUUCAUUUAGCUGCCCACUUACUACAUUAAAAAACAUAAAUAAAUGAAUCUGCGUAUUCAGAGGGCUGAACGGCCCGUAAGGAAGCGAAAGCGGUUGAACUCAGGCCUCCGGGUCGGAGUCAGGGCUGUGGCGCUGGCGAGAGCGGGCCGCAGCGGAAUUGGCACCAUCUUCCGAGGGCCCAGAAAGAGGCAGCUUGGGUCAUUCGAGAAACCGAGGAGGAGGAAGGAAGCUGCGGGGCCCAAGCAUUUUUAGCACCUGUAUUCUCCCAGGGGAGGGGCUGUGUGGGGGAAGAAGGGUGGGGCGCGGAGACAGGUCUAGAGGGGAGAGCACUGGUUCUAAUUCGAGUUCGUCGGAAGGAAAGGGAAGCAGGAAGGCCCUUCCCCUUGUGAAGCCGCGAUGAGCAUAAAACCCCGUUUGUGCAUUGGAGCUUUUCGAGUUACGGGUACUCAGAAAUCUACAGAUUCGUCUGAGCAGUGGACCUGGCGGGAGGCAUGGGUCAGCGUGGUUCUAGAGUUUUCGUUCCUAAACUGGCUGGUCACGGACACACGCUUUCGUCUCUCUGCAGCGGGGACGCGACCCCCCAGGGGAUGUGGAGUUGCCCCCGCAGCGCGCGGUCGGCAGGGGGCGCGCUGGGACACCCUGGCCGCGCCCACUCCAGCCCAGACGGCCCCGCGUUAGGGCCGCGUGGGGGAAGCUCCAGCUUCUCUCCGUGGGAGAAGCGGCCCCGCAAGUCAGCCUGAGACCGCGGGUUUCUACCGGACAACGUGGGCAUCUGCCGGGGACUUCCCUGAACUGGAGGAAUGCGCGCCCCCAGGGAGCGCGGGAGGCCCAGGGAGCGCCGCAGCACCUGCAGCCUGGGGCGGCGUGCGUGCGGGGCCGGGGCAUAAAAACCGGAGCUGGUUCCAUGCAGUGUGUGCGCCCAGCCCCAGUCCAGGCGCUGUCCCAGGGUAGGAAGAAAGUGCGCGAGGUGGCCCUGCUUGCACCCACGAAGCGCGCCCUACUGCUUUCCGGACACGCAUUCUCCAGCACCCAGGGCACUCCCCGCCGGCGCUCCUGCCCUAAACUCUCGGCUAAGUCCAGAGCCGGGCGUGCCUUCUCCCUAGAAUGUUCUCGAGCAAAUCGCAAACAAGUAGUCCUAUUCCACCCGAGCCUCAUGCCUCCACGGGUAAUGCCGGUUAAGAAGGCCAGGGGCGAGGGGAGGUGGGAGCAAGGCCAGGUGGGCGCCUGGGGGUGUCCAGGGCACACUGGUAACGCUGGCCGCGCUGUUCCGCGCGGCCUAACCUUUCUCGCCCUCCUGAACCUGCUCACGGCCAGGGCAGGUGCAGAGGGCGCCAUGCAUCGGGAAGGCCGGGACGCGGGGGCGCAGACUUUUCCAGAAGUUCUGUGGGACCACGGGGCGGUUGCCUCACACGGGCGAGGCCUUGGCGCCUUUGUUGACCCCCAGGAAACCGUGGGCAGGACGCCUGGACUGCCCCCAUCUAGCUGUCCCAACCUGUGCUGCCUCUUUACCGCAGGGGAGAGGAGAGCCCAGCCUGGACCGGUGCAGCGCGGUCGGCUCGCCUUGGAACAGGAAAUGAGGGGAUGGAGAGGGUCACAACGUUGUUUUCCUGUUCUCCUGGCUGGAUUUAUCAUUCUUGCACACCAAGC